UGUGAGCAUAGAUGUUGAUGGAUAGAAUUGGUUUAGGACUAUAAUGAAAGCAUAGUAUGCAGUUUUAAGCAAUCAGAUAUUGCAGAUAAUGCUUCAGCAUGCAUUUCCCUCAUCUGUGACAGGUAUGAUGGUUCCAUUGGAGCGGCAUCGGGUGCUGUAAUGGCUGCUGAUCAAUUUGCAUGGCAGUUAAAUCGAAGAAACCUUUGACCUUGCAGUGAAGUUGAAAUUGUAUGGUUCGUCCGCAGACUUUUUCCCUACCUGUCUGAGCCAAAUACUGGCAGAUGGAGAUCCUGAUAGUCCAAUGAAUUCAUUCCGCAAAUCUGUCAUUGAUGGCAAGGAGAUCAUCUUUCUUGCUAACGUGCAAGUUCGUCACUGCUGUGCUCAGAAUGUUUGAACAAGACAAACUCUAGGAGGGUCGGCAGUUUUUGGCAAAAUUUUCAAGCAACUAGUAUUCACAGGCGCUGGACUUUGAUUAGGAUGAAUUAGGUAGAGGACUCUCUGAGUUGAAAAUCAUGUGAGAUCGUUGGUCUGCUAUUUGCUAUUUGGCCGUGCUGGUAUUGGGUGAAGGUCUUGCUGGUGUCUGCAUUGUGAUUUUCCUCUGUACAAAGAUCGUUAUAUAAGUUUGUUCAGCCGGCUUAUUAAUGUCAUCAUUUUUAUAACUGGAUUCAUGCCGAUAAUAGAAAUUAGAAGAGGGAUGAAACUGUGCUUGGAUUAAUUACA